GGUCAAGCAGGUAAGGGCACAUGGUGGAUGCCUUGGUAUCAAGAGCCGAUGAAGGACGUGGUAAGACUGCGAUAAGCCUCGGUCAGCUGCCUAACAAGCUAAGCCGGGGAUUUCCGAAUGGGGCAACCCGCUCAGGCAAAACCUGAGUACUCCCAGCUCAACACAUAGGCUGGGUAGAGGUAAGUGGGGGAAGGUGAAACAUCUCAGUACCCCGAGGAAAAGAAAUUAUUCUCCUAGUAGCGGCGAGCGAACGGGGAUGAGCCUAAACCUUGUAAUCUUAGUGGUUCUGUAGCCUAUGUUUACAAGGGGUUGUAAGAAGAAUUUGGUUUGUGCAGAGCAAACCGAGAAGUUACAAACCUAACCCUAUUAGAAGGUCCCUGGAACGGGCAACCACAGAGGGUGAGAGUCCCGUAAAUUAAAGGGUAUAGGCUUCUGAUUCUUUCUUAAGUACCACGAGACUCGUGGAAUCUCGUGGGAAUCCGCCGUGACCACAUGGCAAGGCUAAAUACUCUUGAUGACCGAUAGUGAACUAGUACCGUGAGGGAAAGGUGAAAAGCACCCCGAGAGGGGAGUGAAAUAGAACUGAAACCGUGUGCCUACAAGCAGUCAGAGGAGCGUAAGCUCUGAUGGCGUGACUAUUGAAGAAUUAUCCGACGAGUUACUAAGUGCAGCUGGUUAAGCAAUUAAGUUGCGCAGCCGAAGCGAAAGCGAGUCUGAAUAGGGCGUUUUAGUUGCACUGAGUAGACCCGAAGCCGGGUGAUCUAUCCAUGGCCAGGGUGAAGUGAAGGUAAUACUUCGCGGAGGCCCGAACCAGUCAACGUGGCAAAGUUGUUGGAUGAGCUGUGGAUAGCGGUUAUAUGCCAAACGAACCCGGGGAUAGCUGGUUCUCCUCGAAAUGCAUUUAGGUGCAGCCUCAGGUGUUCAUUAAUGGAGGUAGUGCACUGGAUAGACUAGGUGGGAGAGAUCCUGUCAACUCUAACCAAACAUCGAAUGCCAUUAAUCAAAGCCUGGGAGUGAGACUAUGGGGGCUAAGCUCCGUAGUCAAAAGGGAAACAGCCCAGACCAUCAGCUAAGGUCCCUAAGCGCAGGCUAAGUGGGAAAGGAAGUAGCAUUGCCUAGACAUCCAGUAGGUUGGCUUAGAAGCAGCCAUCCUUUAAAGAGUGCGUAAUAGCUCACUGGUUGAGUGGUGUUGCGCCGACAAUCCAACGGGGCUUAAGCCUGUCACCGAAGCUAUGGAUCUACCUAUAUGGUAGAUGGUAGAGGAGCGUUCCCUCGGCAGUGAAGCAGGAGUGUAAACAACUGUGGAGCUUAGGGAAGUGAGAAUGUCGGAAUGAGUAGCGCAAGGCGUGUGAGAAACACGCCCACCGUAAACCUAAGGUUUCCUACGCAAGGUUAAUCCGCGUAGGGUUAGUCGGACCUAAGCCGAGGCCGAAAGGCGUAGAGCGAUGGACAGCAGGUUAUUAUUCCUGCACCACCGUUGUGGAGGUAAAGGGGGGACACAGGAGGAUAGAUCAGGCAUGCCCAUUGGACAUGGCGUGUCGCUAAACCCUAGACGUUUCAGGAUAGGCAAAUCCGUCCUGGAGUUAAGUUGAAGUUUGGUGGAAGGUGCGGAGAGAUCCAAGCCAAUCUGGUUGAGUCCAAGCUGUCGAGAAAAGCCUCGUUACUGUUGAAGCAAUGGUGCCCGUACCGCAAACCGACACUGGUAGGUGGGGGUAAAUGUCCCAAGGUGAUCGAGAUAACCCUCGUUAAGGAACUCGGCAAUCUAGCCCCGUAACUUCGGGAGAAGGGGUGCCCUCGCGAGAGGGUUACAAUAAAGUGGCUCGAGUGACUGUUUAACAAAGACACAGGUCUCUGCAAAAGCGAAAGCUGAAGUAUAGGGGCUGACACCUGCCCAGUGCUGGAAGGUUAAGGGGAGGAGUUAGGGUAACCGAAGCUCUGAACCGAAGCCCCAGUGAACGGCGGCCGUAACUAUAACGGUCCUAAGGUAGCGAAAUCCCUUGUCGGGUAAGUUCCGACCCGCACGAAAGGUAUAACAACUUGAGCGCUGUCUUAACGAGGGACUCGGUGAAAUUGAAUUACCCGUGAAGAUGCGGGUUUCCCGCGACUGGACAAAAAGACCCCGUGGAGCUUUACUAUAACUUGCCAUUGAGUCUGGGUUUAUCAUGUGUAGGAUAGGUGGGAGGCUGAGAAGCCAGGGCGCUAGCCUUGGUGGAGCCAACGUUGAAAUACCACUCUUGAUGGAUCUAGCCUCUAACUCUAGAACAAGCUAGUGGACAGUGGCUGGUGGAUAGUUUGACUGGGGCGGUCGCCUCCUAAAUUGUAACGGAGGCGCCCAAAGGUUCCCUCAGGGUGGAUGGAAAUCACCCUAAGAGUGCAUUGGCAUAAGGGAGCUUGACUGCGAGACAUACAAGUCGAGCAGGGACGAAAGUCGGGCAAAGUGAUCCUACGGCACCGAGUGGAAGGGCCGUGGCUUAUCGGAUAAAAGCUACCCCGGGGAUAACAGGCUUAUCUUGCCCAAGAGUUCACAUCGACGGCAAGGUUUGGCACCUCUAUGUCGGCUCGUCGCAUCCUGGGGCUGGAGUAGGUCCCAAGGGUCCGGCUGUUCGCCGGUUAAAGCGGCACGCGAGCUGGGUUCAGACCGUCGUGAGACAGGUCGGUCUCUAUCCGUCGUGGGCGUCUGGAGAUUUGCGAGGGUCUUUCCAUAGUACGAGAGGACCUGGAAGGACAGACCAAUGGUGUGUCAGUUGUUCUGCCAAGGGCAUUGCUGAGUAGCCAAGUCUGGUUUGGAUAAGCGCUGAAAGCAUCUAAGUGCGAAGCCGGCCUCAAGAUUAGAUCUCCCAUCCCGGGCAACCGGGGGUAAGACCGCAGGUAGACUACCUGCUUGAUAGGCUGCGUGUGUAAGUACCGUAAGGUAUUAAGCUUAGCAGUACUAAUGGUCGAGGGCUUGACCUG
rfam:Dehalococcoides sp. CBDB1 complete genome